rnacentral:misc_RNA from 1 species
GAUGAAGAACGCAGCGAAAUGCGAUACGUAAUGUGAAUUGCAGAAUUCAGUGAAUCAUCGAAUCUUUGAACGCACAUUGCGCCCGCCAGCACUCUGGCGGGCAUGCCUGUUCGAGCGUCAUUUCAACCAUCAAGCCCCAGGCUUGCGUUGGAGCCCUGCGGCUGCCGCAGCUUCCUAAAAGCAGUGGCGGGCUCGCUAUCACACCGAGUGCAGUAGAUUACUCUUCGCUCAGGGCGUGCAGCGGGUUCCGGCCGUGAAACCCCCUACUUUUAAAGGUUGACCUCGGAUCAGGUAGGAAUACCCGCUGAACUUAAGCAUAUCAAUAAGCGGAGGA